UGUUGGUGUUUUUGGCGACUAUAGCAGCAACAUUGCCGUUAUUAAAUAAAAAUAUAAAAUUUUCGCUAUCUGAUAAUUAUAGGUUAAAAUGCUCAUUAAAAUGUAUAAUAUUUGUCUUAAAACUACAUAGAAUGACAUGAAGUUCAUCUUCAAUAGUAGAGCUACAACACAUGUCAUCUCGUGGACUUCUUUUCUUUCAUACUUUCCAGUUUCUAUUUUUUUUAGUGGAGCUACCCCACAUUUAAAUUUUGCAAAAGCACAUUUGUUUUUAAUUGACAUAAUAUUUUUAACAAAUAACUACGGAAGCGUAUUAGCGCCACACAUUUUUUUUUAUUUUUCUUCCUAUGUUUGCGUUAAACGCAAACCUUUGCGUUAUAUACGCGUUGCGUUAGAAAAACCUUGCGUUAUAACGCAAACCUUUUUGUGUUAUAACGCAAACCUUUGCGUUUAACGCAAACCUUUUGCGUUAUAACGCAAACCUUUGCGUUUAACGCAAACAUUUGUUUUAUCUUAUUUCUUAUUCAAGAUUCAAAGGAAACAGUAGUUAUUAAUGGAGGAGGCUGUAUAUAAUAGAAUUUAUCACCUUUGUAGUAAUUGCAAAGUAAACUGCUUGAAUAAUUAGAUCAUAUCAAUGACUAAUAAUGAACAGAAUAAUAUAAGAAGAUGUGGUAUGAGUGACAAUAAGAAAACUCUCCAUCUAAGUCACUAUUCGUAAAAGUAAACCAUCAUAGGCCGAAUUACGGUCUUCAACACGGAGCAUUGGCUCACACUAAACAACAAACUAUAAAGGUCCCCAAAAACGAUAUCCAAGUUACUACUAGUAUAUAUAUUACAAAGAAAAUUGAGUAAAUUGAGGUUAUACCUAAGAAAAAAAUCAACCCUGCUAAUAUAGCUAUAACCGAAUAUAAAUAUACUUCCAAAGUAAGCUCUCGUUUGAGAACUGUGUAAAGUAGGUUACAUUCAAACAAGCUACCCUUUGGCAAUAAAU
rnacentral:lncRNA from 1 species